ACCGGGGCUAAUACCGGAUAACACAUGAAACCGCAUGGUUUCAUGAUGAAAGACGGUUUUGCUGUCACUUAUAGAUGGACCCGCGGCGUAUUAGCUAGUUGGUAAGGUAACGGCUUACCAAGGCAACGAUACGUAGCCGACCUGAGAGGGUGAUCGGCCACACUGGAACUGAGACACGGUCCAG
rnacentral:rRNA from 1 species